UAAAAACUCGCAGUUCUAAUCAGGACACCGGAACUAUGAGCUUUGGGCCAAUUCAACGUAUUGAAUUGCCUGAUAAUACUCCCACAGCUACCACUAUUACAGUUACUGCUCCAAAGGAUGCUGCUGCUACUACUCCAAAGUAUAGCGCUGGAAAACAAACUCCCCUGGAUGCUCUGACAAUCCUCCUUGUAUUACUCUGUUUGCACCUUUCAAUUUUUUCUUAAUGUUCAACAUUUUAUUAGCCCUGUGGUUGAUAGACUGAAGCCUGUGAAGAAAAUUACUGGUGGACUUUUAUAGGAAGCCAAGGGUUGUUUCUUGCACCAAAUAUAAUAUAUCUGCA